rnacentral:tRNA from 1 species
CCGACCUUAGCUCAGUUGGUAGAGCGGAGGACUGUAGUUUGGUUGCAGCUUAAUCCUUAGGUCACUGGUUCGAAUCCGGUAGGUCGGA